CCGGAGUCGUGAGGCUCCGCUGAACGUACAGGAGUCAGCAGAGGCCGUAGUACCCAAGUAGAGGACGCUCGAAAAGGGAAGGGC
rnacentral:ncRNA from 1 species